rnacentral:rRNA from 1 species
GAUGAACGCUAGCGGCAGGCCUAACACAUGCAAGUCGAGGGGCAUCGCGGUGCAGCAAUGCACUGGCGGCGACCGGCGUACGGGUGCGUAACGCGUAUGCAACCUGCCCCGCACCGGGGGAUAGCCCGCCGAAAGGCGGAUUAAUACCCCAUGGCCCCGGGGGCCCGCAUGGGCAUCCGGGUAAAGCCUUGGCGGUGCGGGAUGGGCAUGCGUGCCAUUAGCUGGCUGGUGGGGUAACGGCCCACCAGGGCAACGAUGGCUAGGGGGUCUGAGAGGAUGGUCCCCCACACUGGUACUGAGACACGGACCAGACUCCUACGGGAGGCAGCAGUGAGGAAUAUUGGUCAAUGGGCGGAAGCCUGAACCAGCCAUGCCGCGUGCGGGAUGAAGGCCCUACGGGUUGUAAACCGCUUUUCCCCGGGAAGAAUAAGCCCCCGCCGGGGGUGGAGUGCCGGUACCGGGGAAGUAAGGAUCGGCUAACUCCGUGCCAGCAGCCGCGGUAAAAGUCGACGUCG